UACAGAGGGUGCGAGCGUUGUCCGGAUUUACUGGGCGUAAAGAGCGCGCAGGCGGUCGUUCAAGUCGAGUGUGAAAGCCCCCCGGCUCAACUGGGGAGGGUCAUUCGAUACUGAUCGACUCGAAGGCAGGAGAGGGAAGUGGAAUUCCCGGUGUAGUGGUGAAAUGCGUAGAUAUCGGGAGGAACACCAGUGGCGAAGGCGACUUCCUGGCCUGUUCUUGACGCUGAGGCGCGAAAGCUAGGGGAGCAAACGGG
rnacentral:rRNA from 1 species